rnacentral:pre_miRNA from 1 species
GACGUACUUUCUUCGUUCCAAAUUAUUUGUCGCGGAAAUUGAUGUAUCUAGACAUAUUUUUACUUCAAAAUGCAUUCACUUUCAACCAUUUUCGCGACAAGUAAUUCGGGACGGAGGGAGUACUUA